rnacentral:rRNA from 1 species
CCCUAUGGGGUGCAGCAGGCGAGAAAACUUUGCAAUGUGCGAAAGCACGACAAGGUUAAUCCGAGUGGUUUCUGCUAAAGGAACCUUUUGUCAGUCCUAGAAACACUGAUGAAUAAGGGGUGGGCAAGUUCUGGUGUCAGCCGCCGCGGUAAAACCAGCACCUCAAGUGGUCAGGAUGAUUAUUGGGCCUAAAGCAUCCGUAGCCUGCUUUGUAAGUUUUCGGUUAAAUCCAUACGCUCAACGUAUGGGCUGCCGGGAAUACUGCAAAGCUAGGGAGUGGGAGAGGUAGACGGUACUCGGUAGGAAGGGGUAAAAUCCUUUGAUCUAUUGAUGACCACCUGUGGCGAAGGCGGUCUACCAGAACACGUCCGACGGUGAGGGAUGAAAGCUGGGGGAGCAAACCGGAUUAGAUACCCGGGUAGUCCCAGCUGUAAACUAUGCAAACUCAGUGAUGCAUUGGCUUGAUGCCAAUGCAGUGCUGCAGGGAAGCCGUUAAGUUUGCCGCCUGGGAAGUACGUACGCAAGUAUGAAACUUAAAGGAAUUGGCGGGGGAGCACCACAAGGGGUGAAGCCUGCGGUUCAAUUGGAGUCAACGCCAGAAAUCUUACCCGGAGAGACAGCAGAAUGAAAGUCAGCUGAAGACUUUACCAGACAGCUGAGAGAGGUGCAUGGCCAAGGGCGAUUCAGCACACUGG